GGAAACGCGAGCCAUUAUUCUACAACUAUUUUGCAAGAAACACUUAGACAGUGUUCAUAAUUAAUUGCACUGAGAAUUAAACAUGUUAAUUCAACAGUGCGCUCCCACUCAAAUCAAUAUCUCUCACAAUUAAUUUUGAGUGAUACAAGAUCUAGACUUCAAUUCAUCGCCAUAGAAUCAUCAUCUCAUAACGGGAAUUUUAAUCGGUAGGCCAACUUGCCGAUCACAUCUCUAUGUGACUCUUGCUCAUCUUUCAAUGCGUGUGUUCCGAGCUCAGGACGAUCCUGCCAUGAACGUCAAGACAACCAAGUGAUCUUGCUGCGAGGUCUGACCUCACCUGCCUCACACUUCUCUAAUCGUUCGUACCCAUGCAUCCAUGGCGCACCCCGAAAAGAUAGGUGCCGUGACGGUGCUACACUUGCGAGAACACUAACUACUUGAUAUUUUAAGUGAGAGAUCACCCUAAUAAAAGCGACUACCGCGCAAUCAAGAAGGGUGCAUCAUAAGGGAUAAACAUCUCAGGCAAUUCAUAAUAGCAUGAUAUGGUAUAGCCCUUUCUGACGGAGAAGUAUUUCAUUUCUUCGUCUUCGGCAUUCGCGUCGGUGGUCACCUUCACGAAGAUUGCCACCACCUUGUCGAUGCACCAGAUAAUAUUGCUAUCUCUAUAGCUAACAAAAUAAUGCAUUACAACAAGGUUGACACGCAGGUCAUUAAAAUGCAAUCAUAUGGCUCCAGCCAUCAUGCCGAAUCAUGACACGCAGGUCAUCUUAAUCAAAUUACAUCAUAUAGUCAUCUCAUACAUAAUCGAAUUAGCAUGAGCACUGCUAUACCACAUCACAUGCACAUCCUGCAAAACCAAGUUAGACGCCUCUAAUAGGUUUAUGCAAAAUUUUAUUUUACGUGGCUUCUAAGGUUUUGACUUAAACCGCAGCUACCAACGUUUUAUCAUCAAGUAUGAUUAUUCAGCUUGCUAGAUUAACAUCUCGGGGUGUAUGAAACACGGGAUAAUUAAAUCUCGAGCCCCAUACUAAACUUCGUCAUACGCAUGACCCCCGUGCAGAUCAUAUCUGCAAUGCCCUUUCAUCUGCGAAUUUCAUCUUUCUUUUGACUACGGCAGAACCCAAAGAACUGAUAGCACUUCCAUGAUCAAUCAGGAUCACGGAUUGCCAGAACUUUGUCAAAUUCCACCAUGCUGUCUCGAGAUUGAGCAAACGCAAAUUCUAGGGAAGCAACAAGAACCUCGGGUAACAGAUUUCAUCUGUCACCCGCAUAAAUAAUUUUCAGCAAUAGAUCUCAUCUACUACCUAAUUAUAUUAUGCAAUACCCAUACAUCUCCAUGUAUUCUAGAUCGAAACCUGCAUCUACGCAUAGCACGGCUCUGAUACCACUGUAGGGGAACGCAGCAGAAAACAAAAAAUUUCCGACCUACGCACCAGCCCAGGACCACUAUGGAGACUGCAUACAUGGUUUGAUCUUUUUCGUUACCGACUCAUAGCGCAGCGGGAAGUAGAGUCGAUGACGAUCGGCGGUGCAGAUCCCCGCAGCUAGGAUUUACAACCUCCCAACCGCGAGGAUGUAUACCCUCAUCUGCUCCUCAGACAGCCCUCCAGGAGGCGGUCGAACAGCCCCCCGGACGGUGUCGCGGACAGCCCUUCGGGAGGACCUUCGAAACUCGAACGGUCACUCGGACAGCCCUUCGGGAGGACCUUCGAAACUCGGACGGUCACACGGACAGCCCUUCGGGAGGCACUCACGAACUAAGACCGAAACUACGAUCUCUCUACAGAGUUGCACACAUACGGUGUCAUCUAUCCGGCAGGGCUUCGCCGUCCAGAACUAGUUCCUGCCGGAACCCAGACAGCCUUACGGCUCUACGAAACUCUUUUCGUGGGAGGGAGAGAAGAAGCCAGAUAAUGCAUGGCAUGUGUAUGAGAGCAAGGGAUGAGUGUGGAGGGCUGCCCCUCCACCUCUAUUUAUAGGAAACCCCAAGGGGGUAGGGUAGUUUCACAAAAAACCCAAAAUGCACAUGAAUGAAGUCCUUCCACAAGGACCUAGGAGUGAAACCAAGGAACAAGAGGGUCCCCAAGGGGGGAUACCCCAUGUGGCCGGCCACACCCCCAUGAGGGGCCCAAAAAAUGGCUCCUAUCCAUCCAUGUCAUCCCCAAGAUCUUUUGGAGCAAAGCCCCAAAAGGUGGCUUUCCAUAAAGUAACCAUAAAGCUGAUUUUCACUAUUCACGACGACAUUUUUCAGUGUCUCAUCGAACUGAAAAUAUUUAUGUGGGCUAAGAACAUUUCCAGUACCCACUAAAAUGAUUUUCAACGCGUUCCGAAACAAUUCCGGUUUUAGUGAUUUUCAUCUGCGAAACGCAUCUGAAGUAGCUCCGGCAGCUCCGGAACAUUUCCGGUUUUUAUCUCAGAAAAUUCCAAAAAGCUUCCAGAAUGAUUCUGGCAUCCUCCAAGAAUUAUCAGGCAUGUGCCGAAACCAAUUUGACUUAAUGGUGUAUCCCGAAACAACUUUUCGGUAUGAUCGAAACUUAUCCGAUGACCUCUCUCUGCGGUACGAUUCCGCUGUCCGAAACUUUUUCGGUGAUUUUCUCUCAGACUCCCUGUCUAGUAUUCAGCAGAUAGAUGACCCUUAAGCGUGUGACCCUAUAGGUUCGGUGAAGUAUAGACAUGACCCGGAACCCCUUCCGAUCAAUGAUCAACAUCGGAGCCCUGGACACCCAUAUUGACCCCUAUACCCACACGAAUAAAUAUUCGAGUGAACCUCCAGUUGCCGUGUGCUAUUCCUGUUGCUUCGCGAUAUGUUACAAAUACCCGAGGUGAGACAUGUUGGCAUUCCCAUGGAUCAACAACUUGUCCACUAUGCUAGUUACCUCGUUACCGGUAUUGUUCUCUUUUCUCGUUAUCGUGUUCCGCCAUCCCCGUGAUCAAAUCACAAAGUGUCUGGCCAGACGAUGAUGGAUACCGUAACACCGAGAGGGCCCAGAGAUAUCUCUCCAUCGUCGGAGGAGCAAAUCCCAAUCUUGAGCUAUCAAGUUACUUGACACACUUUUCCAUGAACCCGUAAGCCGCCGUAAUAGCCACCCAUUUACGGAUGACGUUUAACAAACCCCAAAGUUCAUGAAGCAAGCAUGAAGAAACUCGAUACUCUCAUGGUAUAAGGAAUCAUGCAAACGUUAACCAUCUCUGUGUUAUGUACCAAUAAACUUGUGACGAAUGAAUCUCAUAGCAUAACAUCAUGCCGGGUCGAUUCAACACAAAUGUUCUCUUAACAUUAUGCCCUCAAGGUUGCUGACAUAGACAUGCCCAUGAUCAGGAAAACAUAACCAUCAUGCAACACUUGAGCUAGUCUUAGAGGCCAGACUAGGAAUACAUUUUACCGUUUAUUAUUCCACACGUGCAUAUGAGUCUUCCUCCGAGCCUCGUGGUUAUUGCAGACUCGAGAACCAUAGCAGUUCUAGCAUGGAACAUAAACAUAAUUAUGAACUCGGAGAUAAAUAAUAUCAUUUAUUAUUGCCUCUAGGGCAUAUCUCCUACAACGAAGGUGAUCAUGCCGCGCCUCAAAGAUGGAGAUCAAAGGCGCAAGAUGAUAUUGGCCAUAUCACGUCACUUUAUGAUUUGCAUGUGAUGUUUAGCAUGUUUACAUCUUAUUUGCUUAGAACGACGGUAGCAUAAAUAAGAUGAUCCCUCACUAAAAUUUCAAGAGACGAGUUCCCCCUAACUGUGCACCAUUGCGAAGGUUCGUUGUUUCGAAGUACCACGUGAUGAUCGAGUGUGAUAGAUUCUAACGUUCGAAUACAACGGGUGUUGACGAGCCUAGCAUGUACAGACAUGGCCUCGAAACACAUGCGAAACACUUAGGUUGACUUGACGAGCCUAGCAUGUACAGACAUGGCCUCGGAACACAAGAGAUCGAAAGGUCGAACAUGAGUCGUAUAGCAGAUGCGAUCAACAUGGAGAUGUUCACCGAUGAUGACUAGUCCGUCUCACGUGAUGAUCGGACACGGCCUAGUUUGACUCGGAUCAUGUAUCACUUAGAUGACUAGAGGGAUGUCUAUCUGAGUGGGAGUUCAUUAAAUAAUCAGAUGAACUUAAUUAUCAUGAACAUAGUCAAAAGGUCUUUGCAAAUUAUGUCAUAGCUUACGCUUUAGUUCUACUAUUUAAGAUAUGAUCCUAGAGAAAAUUUAGUUGAAAGUUGAUAGUAGCAAUUAUGCGGACUGGAUCCGUGAACUGAGGAUUGUCCUCAUUGCUGCACAGAAGGCUUAUGUCCUUAAUGCACCACUCGGUGUGCUGAACCUAAGCGUCGUCUGUAGAUGUUGCGAAACAUCUGACAUACACGUUUUGAUGACUACGUGAUAGUUCAAUGCGUAAUGCUAAUGGUUUAGAAUUGUGGCACCAAAGACGUUUUUGAAACGUCGCAGAACAUAUGAGAUGUUCCGAAGACUGAAAUUGGGAUUUCAGACUAGUGCCCACGUGAGACCCCUGACAAGCUUCUUAAGCCUGCAAACUAAGGGAGAAAAGCUCAAUCGUUGAGCAUGUGCUCAGAUUGUCUAAGUACUACAAUCACUUGAAUCGAGUGGGAGUUAAUCUUCCAGAUGAGAUAGUGAUGGUUCUCCUUAGUCACUGCCACCAAGCUAUUAGAGCUUCGUGAUGAACUAUAAAAUAUUAGGGAUAGAUAUGAUGAUCCUUGAGAAACUUGCGAUGUUUGACACCGCAAAAGUAGAAAUCAAGAAGGAGCAUCAAUUGUUGAUGGUUAGUAAAACCACUAGUUUCUAGAAGGGCAAGGGCAGAAGGGAUACUUCAUGAAACAGCAAAUCAUUUGCUGCUCUAGUGAAGAAUCCCAAGGUUGAACCCAAACCCGAGACUGAGUGCUUCUGUAAUGAGGGAAACGGUCACUGAAGCAGAACUACCCUAGAUACUUGGUAGAUGAGAAGGCAGGCAAGGUUGACAGAAGUAUAUUGGAUAUACAUUAUAUGAAUGAGUACUUUACUAGUACUCCUAGCAGCACCGGGGUAUUAGAUACCGGUUCGGUUGCUAAGUGUUAGUAACUCGAAAUAAAAGCUGCGGAAUAAACGGAGACUAGCUAAAGGUGAGAUGACGACAUGUGUUGGAAGUGUUUCUAAGGUUGAUGUGAUCAAGCAUCGCAUGCUCCCUCUACCAUCGAGUUUGGUGUUUGCGUUGAGCAUAAACAUGAUUGGAUUAUGUUUAUCGCAAUACAAUUGUUCAUUUAAGGAGAAUAAUGGUUACUCUGUUUAUUUGAAUAAUACCUUCAAUGGUCUUGCACCUAAAAUGAAUCUCGAUCGUAGUGAUACACAUGUUCAUGCCAAAAGAUAUAAGAUAGUAAUGAUAGUACCACAUACUUGUGGCACUGCCACUUGAGUCAUAUUGGUAUAAAACGCAUGAAGAAGCUCCAUGUAGAUGGAUCUUUGGACUCACUCGUUUUUGAAAAAAAUUGAGACAUGCGAACCAUGUCUAUUGGUAUAUGUGCGUGAAGAAACUCCAUGCAGAUGGAUCGUUUGGACUCACUUGAUUUUGAAUCACUUGAGACAUGCAAAUCAUACCACAUGGGCAAGAUGACUGAAAGGCCUCGUUUUUCAGUAAGAUGGAACAAGAAAGCAACUUGUUGGAAGUAAUACAUUUUGAUGUGUGCAGUCCAAUGAGUGCUGAGGCACGCAGUGGAUAUCGAUAUGUUCUUCCUUCACAGAUGAUUUGAGUAGAUGCUGAGAAUAUUUACUUGAUGAAACACAAGUCUGAAUUAUUGAAAGGUUCAAGUAAUUUCAGAGUGAAGUUGAAGAUCGUCGUGACAAGAGGAUAAAAUGUCUAUGAUAUGAUCAUAGAGAUAUCUGAGUUACGAGUUUGGCACACAAUUAAGACAUUGUGGAAAGUGUUUCACAAUUAAUACCGCCUAGAACACCACAGUGUGAUGGUGUGUCCGAACAUCAUAACUGCACCCUAUUGGAUAUGGUGCAUACCAUGAUGUCUCUUAUCAAAUUACCACUAUCGUUCAUGGGUUAGGCAUUAUAGACAACCGCAUUCACUUUAAAUAGGGCACCACGCAAUUCCGUUGAGACGACACCGUUUAGAGAAACCUAAGUUGUCGUUUCUUAAAAGUUUGGGGCUACGAUGCUUAUGUGAAAAAGUUUCAGGCUGAUAAGCUCGAACCCAAAGCGGAUAAAUGCAUCUUCAUAGAAUACCCAAAACAGUUGGGUAUACCUCCUAUUUCAGAUCUGGAAGCAAAAGUAAUUGCUUCUAGAAACGAGUCCUUUCUCGAGGAAAAGUUUCUCUCGAAAGAUUGAGUGGGAGGAUGGUGGAAACUUGAUAAGGUUAUUGAACCAUAACUUCAACUAGUGUGUAGCAGGGCACAGGAAGUUGUUCCUGUGGCACCUACACCAAUUGAAGUGGAAGCUUAUGAUAGUGAGCAUGAAACUUCGGAUCAAGUCACUACCAAACCUCGUAGGACGACGAGGAUGCGUACUACUUCAGAGUGGUACGUGAUCCUGUCUUGGAAGUCAUGUUGCUAGACAACAAUGAACCUACGAGCUAUGGGGAAGCGAUGGUGGGACCGGAUUCCGACGAAUGGCUUGAGGCCAUAAAAUCCAAGAGAGGAUCCAUGUACUUGAUGGUCGUAAGGCUGUUGGGUGCAGAUGGAUUUUAAAAGGAAGACACACAAUAAUGGUAAGUGUCACCAUUAAGAAAGCUCGGCUUGUCGUUAAGAUGUUUUUCGACAAGUUCAAGGAGUUGACUACGAUGAGACUUUCUCACUCGUAGCGAUGCUAAGAGUCUGUUGGAAUUGUAUUAGCAGUCUUGCAGAUAGGAUGUCAAAACAUUGUUUCCUCGAAGAUUUUCUUGAGGAAAGGUUGUAUGUGAUACAACCAGAAGGGUUUUGUCAAUCCUGAAAGAUGCUAACAAGUGUGCAAAGCUCCAGCAAUCCUUCUAAGGACUGGAGUAAGAAUCUCGGAGUUGGAGUGUACGCUUUGAUGGAGUGAUCAAAGUUUUUGGGUUUAUACAAAGUUUGUUAGAAACUUGUAUUUACAAUAAAGUGAGUGGGAGCGCUACAACAUUUCUGAUAAGUAUAUGUGAAUGACAUAUUGUUGAUCCGAAAUGAUGUAAAAUUUCUGGAAAGCAUAAAGGGUUGUUUGAAAGGAGUUUUUCAAAGGAAGACCUGGAUAAAGCUGCUUACAUAUUGGGCAUCAAGAUCUAUAGAGAUAGAUCAAGACGCCUGAUGAUACUUUCAAAGAACGCACACCUUAACAUGAUUUUGAAAGAGUUCAAAAUAGAUCAGCAAAGAAGGAGUUCUUGGCUGUGUUACAAGGUGUGAGUAUUGAGUAAGACUCAAGACCUGACCACAGCAGAAGAGAGAGAAAGGACGAAGGUCAUCCCCUACGCUUUAGACAUAGGCUCUGCAGUAUGCUAUGCUGUGUACCGCACAUGAAGUGUGCCUUGCCAUGAGUUGGUCAAGGGGUACAAUGGUGAUCCGGUGAUGGAUCACAUGACAGCGGUCGAACUUAUCCUUAGUAUCUAGUGGACUAAGGAAUUUUCUUGAUUAUGGAGGUGAAAAGGAGUUCAUCGUAAAGGGUUACGUCGAUGCGAACUUUGACACUAAUCCGGACGACUCUGAGUAGAAAACCGGAUUCGUAUAGUAGAGCAGUUAUUUGAAAUGGCUCCAAGUAGCGCGUGGUAGCAUCCACAAGAUGACAUAGAUAUUCGUAAAGCACACACGGAUCUGAAAGGUUCAGACCCGUUGACUAAUAACCUCUCUCACAUGCAUAACAUGAUUAAACCAGAACUCAUUGAGUGUUAAUCACAUAGUGAUGUGAACUAGAUUGUUGACUCUAGUAAACUCUUUUGAUGUUGGUCACAUGGUGAUGUGACCUGUGAGUGUUAAUCACAUGGUGAUGUGAACUAGAUUAUUGACUCUAGUGCAACUGGGAGACUGUUGGAAAUAUGUGAAGGGGAACGCGACAGAAAACAAAAAAUUUCCGACCUACGCACCAGCCCAGGACCACUAUGGAGACUGCAUACAUGGUUUGAUCUUUUUUGUUACCGACUCGUAGCGCAGCGGGAAGUAGAGUCGAUGACGAUCGGCGGUGCAGAUCCCCGCAGCUAGGAUUUACAACCUCCCAACCGCGAGGAUGUAUACCCUCAUCUGCUCCUUAGACAGCCCUCCGGGAGGCGGUCGAACAGCCCCCCGGACGGUGUCGCGGACAGCCCUUCGGGAGGACCUUCGAAACUCGAACGGUCACUCGGACAGCCCUUCGGGAGGACCUUCGAAACUCGGACGGUCACACGGACAGCCCUUCGGGAGGCACUCACGAACUAAGACCGAAACUACGAUCUCUCUACAGAGUUGCACACAUACGGUGUCAUCUAUCCGGCAGGGCUUCGCCGUCCAGAACUAGUUCCUGCCGGAACCCAGACAGCCUUACGGCUCUACGAAACUCUUUUCGUGGGAGGGAGAGAAGAAGCCAGAUAAUGCAUGGCAUGUGUAUGAGAGCAAGGGAUGAGUGUGGAGGGCUGCCCCUCCACCUCUAUUUAUAGGAAACCCCAAGGGGGUAGGGUAGUUUCACAAAAAACCCAAAAUGCACAUGAAUGAAGUCCUUCCACAAGGACCUAGGAGUGAAACCAAGGAACAAGAGGGUCCCCAAGGGGGGAUACCCCAUGUGGCCGGCCACACCCCCAUGAGGGGCCCAAAAAAUGGCUCCUAUCCAUCCAUGUCAUCCCCAAGAUCUUUUGGAGCAAAGCCCCAAAAGGUGGCUUUCCAUAAAGUAACCAUAAAGCUGAUUUUCACUAUUCACGACGACAUUUUUCAGCGUCUGAUCGAACUGAAAAUAUUUAUGUGGGCUAAGAACAUUUCCAGUACCCACUAAAAUGAUUUUCAACGCGUUCCGAAACAAUUCCGGUUUUAGUGAUUUUCAUCUGCGAAACGCAUCUGAAGUGGCUCCGGCAGCUCCGAAACAUUUCCGGUUUUUAUCUCAGAAAAUUCCAAAAAGCUUCCAGAAUGAUUCUGGCAUCCUCCAAGAAUUAUCAGGCAUAUGCCGAAACCAAUUUGACUUAAUGGUGUAUCCCGAAACAACUUUUCGGUAUGAUCGAAACUUAUCCGAUGACCUCUCUCUGCGGUACGAUUCCGCUGUCCGAAACUUUUCGGUGUCUGAAACUUUUUCGGUGAUUUUCUCUCAGACUCCCUAUCUAGUAUUCAGCAGAUAGAUGACCCUUAAGCGUGUGACCCCAUAGGUUCGGUGAAGUAUAGACAUGACCCGGAACCCCUUCCGAUCAAUGAUCAACAUCGGAGCCGUGGACACCCAUAUUGACCCCUAUACCCACACGAAUAAAUAUUCGAGUGAACCUCCAGUUGCCGUGUGCUAUUCCUGUUGCUUCGCGAUAUGUUACAAAUACCCGAGGUGAGACAUGUUGGCAUUCCCGUGGAUCAACAACUUGUCCACUAUGCUAGUUACCUCAUUACCGGUAUUGUUCUCUUUUCUCGUUAUCGUAUUCCGGCAUCCCCGUGAUCAAAUCACAAAGUGUCUGGCCAGACGAUGAUGGAUACCGUAACAUCGAGAGGGCCCAGAGAUAUCUCUCCAUCGUCGGAGGAGCAAAUCCCAAUCUUGAGCUAUCAAGUUACUUGACACACUUUUCCAUGAACCCGUAAGCCGCCGUAAUAGCCACCCAUUUACGGAUGACGUUUAACAAACCCCAAAGUUCAUGAAGCAAGCAUGAAGAAACUCGAUACUCUCAUGGUCUAAGGAAUCAUGCAAACGUUAACCAUCUCUGUGUUAUGUACCAAUAAACUUGUGACGAAUGAAUCUCAUAGCAUAACAUCAAUCCGGGUCGAUUCAACACAAAUGUUCUCUUAACAUUGUGCCCUCAAAGUUGCUGGCAUAGACAUGCCCAUGACCAGGAAAACAGAAUCAUCAUGCAAUACUUGAGCUAGUCUUAGAGGCCAGACUAGGAAUACUUCUUACCGUUUAUUAUUCCACACGUGCAUUUGAGUCUUCCUCCGAGCCUCGUGGAUAUUGCAGACUCGAGAAUCAUUGCAGUUAUAGCAUGGAACAUAAACAUAAUUAUGAACUCGGAGAUAAAUAAUAUCAUUUAUUAUUGCCUCUAGGGCAUAUCUCCUACAGACUCCCACUUGCACUAGAGUCAAUAAUCUAGCUUAUGCUAAUGCACUUCACACCUGUGGCACACCGGUGUAAAUAUGCUUCGCUUGUGGUAUAGCCUGAUGUCCAACGGAUCUGACGACUUCAGUUCCGUGUGUAUCUUUGCAUGUCCUCGCGUUUUCACGUUUUCACAAAAUUCAUAUUUUGUGUGGACUUGGCUUUGUAUGUAUGUGAAUCACAGGUCGAACCUGGAUUCCUCAGACUGAGUUAUGGAGAAACUACCUGCAGUAGUGUCCCAUUGUCAAAAGCCAUCUUGGAACUAUACUAAGUUCAUGAAUGAACUAUAUGAUUCAACAUCUUCUUUGUCGCUUCUAAAGCGUCAACAUACUUAGCCCUUGUUAUAGAAUUCGCCACAGUAACUAGUUUGAACAAAUUCCAACUAACUGUGCCACCACAUUGUGUGUUACACAAAACCCUUAAUUUAAAUCGAAAAUCGCAUGGAGAAAAGAUGAAGACUCUAUCGAUGUAACAUUUUACAACGAACUCUUCAUGAUCUCUGCUUGCGAGAAAACCAUGUCAUCAGUACUUACUCUAGUACUCUGUGACAUCUUUCACUGUUGUCCCAUGAUCAGUAAUUUGAUCACUUUGGUAUCCAUACUCGCAACACCUUGGGAGUAUCGGACAUAUCUGUUUGUUUUACAUACCAUGGAAUACAUGAUUAAUCCAAACACAAAAGUGUGUGGAAUCUGCAUCAUGUAUUUUACUCAUCAGUGUUUUGGGACACCGAGUCUUGCAAAAACUCUUUCCAUGUGCCUUUGGCAAGAAUCACUCCUUGGCGUUUUAAAUGCUAAAAGGUUUUAGCAUCUUGUCAAUAUGUAUUCAUUGCUUAGCCCCAUUAGGUAAAUCUAUCUCCAUAGAUCAUCAUGCCUAAUAUUGAGGCUAUUUAGCCUAAGCACUUCAUCGAAAAACUGUUUUCAAAUGAAGUCCUAAUUUGUGUCAAGAAAUUUAUUUCCAAUUACCAAUGUGCCAAGCACAUAAGGUUUUUUAGAAAUAUUAUUACGCUCCCACUUACUUUCUUGAAUUACAAGCAUCUUCGUUACCCAUUGAUGAAGUCAAAACCCCUUUGACCAUUUCAUCAAAACACGAAGAUUCCAACUCCAUUUUGCUCUCUUCUGUCCAUUGUUGGAACUCUGAAGUUUGCAUACCUACUAGCAUCCUCUGGAUCGACAAAUUACUUUGGAUUGUAUCAUAUACAAGGCCUAGCUUUCAUUUCCAUCAGAUGGAAAUCCUUUUAUCAUCCAUGUUUCAUAUCUCAUGAUUGAAAUAUGUAUUAAUUGCUAGUUCAACCCGAACCGACUUUAAGCAUCGCUACGAUGAAAACAACCUCAUCGUAUUAUUUCAACAAGUCGAGCUUUAUGGAUAAAACAUUUUAUCCGUAUCAGUUUUAAGUUCCAUAAAUAUUCGUUAGACUCUAAGUCUUCCGAAAGGUGUAUCAAGGUUUUAAUCUUGAAUCACUUAUAUGGAAACUAACUCGGGUUGUAUUGGCAUUUAGCCAAUUCCGGAGUCAGGGCCCAUCAACGCUUCCUUGUGUAUCGUAGGUAUAAUGUUGUCUAACAACAAUAUCUCGUUUGCGCAACUGAGAGGUUUGCACGAGCCUUUCCUACGUGGUUCAGCUGCAAGUUCGACCGAAGUUCAUACAUUUUAUGAACAACUCUUUUGCAACAAACAUUGUGCAAUGGGCUAGAGUGUAUGAAACUCUAAAAUGAAUUAUGAAAGUGAACCCAGAGGUAUUGUAUUAUUAUCAAUAUUCAUAACAUACAUCUCAUUCAUAAUGAAAGUAUGGCCCUUGUGUUAUUCAUAACAUCGAACAUAAAAAGUUCUCUUAUGAACAACCUUCUUGCAAGAUGCCUUAUGCAAUGGGAUAGAGUUUGUAAAACUCUAAAUGAAUUAUGAAAAUAAAUACAGACGGCAAUACACCGAUGGAAGGUAUAGUAACAUUUACUAUGUUCCCUGUGUAUACCUUAACCUCAUUUCUAGCUAGUCUUUCAGGCCAUAGUAGUUCUUACAUCGAGUUGCAACAGAAUGCAAUCGAGCGGGCAUUUUUGUGAUGAACUCACAAUACCCAAGAAUUAGUGAUUAACAUGUUUAACCAUAAUUCGCAAGAACUAUAUCUUUGACCAGCCUUCUAUACAUCAAAAACUUGUAUGACAUUCAUACAUGAGCUGGAUAUUCCAGUCUUCUUUCCUUUUGCCUUUAUACUUCUAGCAGUUUAACUUUUAGUAUUUCUCCUACUCUCAAAAGAAGCACCCAACUUAAGAGUGGCAUUAGCCCCGGACUUCCUAGGCGUGUAAGUCAUACUAACACCCUUUGGACACUUCCUUUCUCUUUAAGUUGUUGUUUUAUUCACCUUCCAUUAUAUGACAGGCGUUCUUCUGGAUCCCUUUCCCAACAGUCAAAUGCAUAGUAAACACUUUUACUAAUACUUGCAAACAAACAUUGCUUUGUUUGUAUCUGAAAAUAAUUUUCAGUUCCAUGAAUAUCAUAUAACUAUCCCAACUUUCGAAGUUUGGGUUUCAUGGAAGCAAACAUAUUCCACUUGACCGUAACAGAAUUCUAGCUUUUGGAUCAAAGGACGAGAGUCACAUGAUCCAUAGCAUUAGCGGGAGGAUACGGAAAGCAUGCGAUAGGACAAAGUCCUUCUCGGCACUUUUGAGGACAAUCCUCAUAUUACGGUACCAAUCGUAAAGUUUUAACCAGAUAUUUAACAGCUAUUCAAUUUUAACAGGGAAGGUGGAAACGCGAGCCAUUAUUCUACAACUAUUUUGCAUAUAACACUUAGACAAUGUUCAUAAUUAAUUGCACUAAGAAUUAAACAUGUUAAUUCAACAGUGCGCUCCCACUCAAAUCAAUAUCUCUCAAAAUUGAUUGUGAGUGAUACAAGGCCCACAUUUCAAUUGUUCGCCAUUGGUGUAACACCACUGAUGAUGAAAAAUCUCAACCGGUAGGCCAACUUGCCAAUCACAUCUUUAUGUGACUCUUGUUCAUCUUUCGAUGCGUGUGUUCCGAGCUCAUGACGGUCAUGCCUGAACGUCAAGACAACCAAGUGAUCUCGCUGCGAGGUCUCAACUCACCCGCCUCACACUUCUCUAAUCGUUC
rnacentral:lncRNA from 1 species